AUCUUUUUUUUUGUCUCUAAGCACGAAGAUUGAGGAUUGAAUGUUCAUAUCAGUGUGUGACAUUCCUUCCUCACACCUUGUUUUGAUGUCUCACAUUACCCAUUUGACA